rnacentral:lncRNA from 1 species
UGAAAUAUAUAUCAUAGAUAAUCUGAUAACAAAUCCACAAUUCAUCGGAUAUCGACAAACACACCGCGAAAGAGGAUUACAUCGGAUAGAUCUCCAUGAAGAUCAUGGAGAACUUUGUAUUGAAGAUCCAAGAGAGAGAGGAAGCCAUCUAGCUACUAACUACGGACCCGUAUGUCUGAAGUGAACUACUCACGAGUCAUUGGAG